GUGUGCGCGUGUAUGCGUGUGCGUGCGUGCAUGUGCGCAUGCGCAUUUUAAUGAUAUUCGAUGCAGACAGACACUUGAUUCCUUACUGGGCUUCGUGGUUUUUAACUAAACUUCUCUGUUUGGGUGUCCUCUGUGUGUGCACGGUACACAGACCUCUGUCAUUCUGGCAGGAGUUACAACACAGCAGGUGGUUGCAGAAAGGAAUUAACACACUGCCCUGGAAAGCAAGAGAUCCCUGGAAAGCAAGAGAUCCCUGGAAAGCAAAAAGAUUCCUGGAAAGCAAAAAGAUUCCUGGUUGACGUAACGUCCUCCAAUAGUCGAUUCCACCAUGUCGUCCAUCGGACCUCUGGAUCGGACCUCGUUCAUGGGGGCAGAGUCCUCACCUUCGGCAGCCUCCUCUCCAAGACACUCCUUCUUCUUCUGGGAAAAUGGGGGAAACAAACCCCAGCCAGGAAAGCUUUGUCUGUUGUCCUCCAGAGGAGGAUGGGCCCCCUUUGAG